AUGGCGCCGGUGCAGGGACGACGCGGGGACGGACUUGGUGUGGCGGAGCUCGGGGCCAUGGCGAACGGAGCACCUGCGAAGGGGAAGAGAGAGGUCAGGGACGGGCGAGAGGAGAGGAAGCACAGGAAGGAGUGGGGCGGCACUAUUCCUGGAGGACGAGAGAGGAGGCAGGGGCUUCGGGAGAGCGAGGAGGAUCUCCACUCCUCUGGAUCGAAGAGGGAGGAGGAGGCUCUUGAUCCAAUCGGGAUCGAGCGCGGGGUCGAUCUGAGAGGGAGAGGUGGGGGUUGCUGGUUGGAUCAACGCUGA
rnacentral:rRNA from 1 species